rnacentral:rRNA from 1 species
CAGUCGCCGCGGUAAUACAGACGGUGCGAGCGUUAAUCGGAUUUACUGGGCGUAAAGCGUGCGUAGGCGGCUUCUUAAGUCGGAUGUGAAAUCCCUGAGCUUAACUUAGGAAUUGCAUUCGAUACUGGGAAGCUAGAGUAUGGGAGAGGAUGGUAGAAUUCCAGGUGUAGCGGUGAAAUGCGUAGAGAUCUGGAGGAAUACCGAUGGCGAAGGCAGCCAUCUGGCCUAAUACUGACGCUGAGGUACGAAAGCAUGGGGAGCAAACAGGAUUAGAUACCCCCGUAGUCCCUGUCUCUUAUAC